rnacentral:lncRNA from 1 species
AUGGAAGCAGCAAGUGUGUAUGAUGAGUCUGAUUUAAUGUGUCAUGAGGAGCAGUUCACUGAUUUUGAGACAGACAGUGAAUCAGACUUUCCCAGAAAGCAAGGCUCAGUGGUAUGCAGGUCAACAGAUGUGCUAAUGUCAUCACCUCAAUCACAAAAUAGUAAGCUUUUGAAUUCAAAAAGCACAGUAACAUUGAGAGAAGAGAGGGAACGCAGCAUGGCUGGAGGUGAUCAUUGUGUGCAGUCACCAAAAAUCUCCUGUUCAGCAAAUAGGAAGAAUUAUUGUUACAUCUGUGGCAAACCUCAGUCCAAGUUAGCGCGCCAUUUGAAAACUCAUAUGGCUGAAGUUGAAGUUGUUCAGGCUUUGUCACUCCCAGUUCACUCAAAAGAACGUAAAGCAAUGCUGCAAAAGCUCAGGAACAAGGGCAACUUUCAGCAUAACACUGACGUUUUACAGUCUGGAGAGGGGGCUCUUAAAAUAAAACGAGCACCAAAAAGAAAGUGUGAUUCAAAGCAGUUUUUGCAUUGCAUGUACUGCAAAGGGUUGUUUGUACGGAGAGAUCUGUGGCGUCAUUUAAAAAGAUGUCCCUCAAAACCAGCAGCUGACAGUGAAGAGCAAGGGAGGAGGAGAGUCUUGGGCCUGGCAUCUAUGGCAGAGUCUUCAUUCAGUCAGCACAUAUCACAAGGAGUUUGGAAACUCUUAGGUGUGAUGAAGCAGGAUGACAUUUCCGCUGUGGUCAAAAAUGACCUGAGUAUUCUUCAGCUUGCACAGUCGUUUUUUAACAAACAUGGUCAUGACCCUACCAAAUUUGAGUAUAUUCGACAAAAACUCCGUGAAGUUGGAAGAUUGUUGCUGACUUUGCGUAGACAGUUUUCUGUGUACAGUCUUGAAGAAGCUCUGAAACCUGCCAAUUUUCAUAGACUUAUUCGAGCGGUUCAAAUGGUGUCUGGCUAUGAUGAUGAGAGCCACUGCUACCAAAGCCCAAGCCUUGCCCUGAAACUGGGGCAUUCGUUGAAUAAGAUUUGCGAAAUCAUUCAGUGCCGAGCACUGAUGUCUGAAGACAAGGAAUUGAUCUCAUCAACAGAGACCUUCAAAAAGCUCUACUCCUCAAAGUGGUCUGAGAUGAUCUCACACACUGCUUUGGUGACACUGAAUGAGGCCAAAUUUAACAAGCCAUCAACACUUCCCUUCACCCAGGAUGUCCAGUCUCUUCAUCAGCUCCUUGAGAAGACUGCAGAUACUGCUUUUCAGAAACUACAAGAGACUGCAUCUCCUCAAAGCUAUGCAGAACUGGCCAAAGCAACACUCACCAGAAUCAUUGUUUUCAACCGCAGACGUGCAGGAGAGGUCUCUAAAAUGCCGCUGAAGGCUUUCAAUGAAAGGGACGGCACUUCUCUCCAUGAAGAUGUAGCGAUGGGCCUGAGCAAGUUUGAGCAGAAACUCUGCAGCCAUUUCAGUCGAGUUGAGAUCAGGGGGAAGAGGGGAAGAAAGGUUGCGGUUCUUCUCUCUCCUGAUAUGGUCGAUGCCCUGAUGCUACUGGUCAGCAGGAGAGGUACAUGUGGAGUGCUAGACACUAAUACUUUCUUGUUUGCUCGGCCAAACUGCCAGAGUUACUACAGAGGCCAGGACUCUCUGAGGGUAUAUGCAGGGGAAUGUGGAGCUCAAAAUCCAGAAUUUCUCAGAUCCACUCAUCUUCGCAAGCACGUGGCUACGCUCUCUCAAAUCCUAAACCUGAAAAACAACGAGUUAGAUCAGGUUGCUGAUUUCUUAGGGCAUGACAUCCGUGUCCACCGUGAUUAUUACAGACUGCCAGAAGCCACUACUCAGCUUGCUAAAAUAUCAAAGCUACUGUUAGCCAUGGAAAAGGGCUGCCUUCCUAAUCUUUAA